CCGGGGAGGAAACUGUGACAGGGCGCAGCCGCGGUUUCCAGGAUCCAGGGAUUGGCCGCGGCUUUGAUACCGUACGUCAGCCCCCAACCACCAUCGUGCCAACUAUCCGCAUCCCCCGCUGACCUCUUCUCGUCCCCCAAGCCGCUUCAUGCUUCGGGGGUGGCACGGCCCCGGGGGAAGAGGAAGCACACCAGGUAUAACGACGACGGUCGAUGCUGCGCGGUAUUUCUGGCGGCAGGUCGAUAUGAGCUUCACCUGUGCGACUGUGGGCUGCUGGCUGCUUCGAGAAAAAGGGGUUCGAGAACGCGGUGAACACGACACAGCACAGUGUUCUUCGACUAGCAACCAUUCCACAUUAUCUACCUUCAUCUCCACUCUUUCUUUCUUUCUCUUCCUGUCUUUCUCGCGCGUUCCUUGUAGGUAUAGAAUUUAAGUAUGCCACUACACGCUAUAAAGUAGCUUGUAAAUGGACUAUCUGCUUGCGCGGAUAUGAACGUUAUUUUUCAUUUCAUCAGAUCCGAUUUCAGCAGAUUGCUGAUUCUGUCUUUGGUUGAUUUAAUCGUGUUUGUGAACUCUCUUUAGCAUUCUCCGACGAUACGCCGCUGUUGGAUACGAACCUGACGUGAAUUUCUCCAUUGCGUGGAGAAAUUAGUGUAUUGUAACUUGCAAAUGAAUAGCAGCAGCAUUGUGAUGUAGAGUAUGCGGUUAUUGAGAAGAGGCGGUGGAUUUGUAAGAAAAGUCUAUUCACAUCCCUCAUUCUUUACUAUUAUUGGAUAAACUUGUUCUGAAUAUUGGAAGCAUAUUCUACUUUUCGCAAAAUCACCAAAGCAUUAAAAAAUUCAAACUGCCAAUUAUCAUAUCAUUCGCAGACAACGAUUCAACCAUCGUGAUUUACAGGAGCGUGAACAACGGUGCCUUCUUUGCAUCAACCUGGUUGCGCCACGUGGAAAUUGUAGACUCAAAAGAUUGAAACGCCUCCGUCUACUGAGGAAUUUCUCACAUUAGUUGAUCUACGUGCAGUCACAGACCUCAAGAUGCAUAGCGAGAGAUACUCAGAACCUGCGACCAAUCCUCCUAUCAUCUUACUGACCGACUAUUUUAUAGAAAAAUUAACGAGUAAUUGGCUAUUAUUUUCAUAAUCGAAAUAAACUUUCAUAAUUGAAAUUCGAACAUAGAUACAGUACCGUGAAUAAUUAUAGACUCAAAACCAUCUUUAGCUUUUUCAUAAUAUCAAAAUAAGAUGCAACAAACUUUUCUUCUUUGGAAAUUUUCUAUAGGAAAUUUCUUCUUUAGAAGCUUAGAAGAAAAGAUUACAUUUUCUCUUAUCUAUCCUUUUCAAUAUCCGCUAACGUGGAUUUUAUUUUGUUUUUAGAUUCAGCGAUAUUUUUUAUACGUGGCUUCUGAUUCUAAACUUCUCUCGUUAGAAUUCCUCGCAAGUUCUCGAUCG